rnacentral:lncRNA from 1 species
CUCAUUUCAGAUUUCAUAAAUAAAAAGAAAAUUUCUUCAAACAUUUUUUUGAGAGGAUUAAUAUUCAACAGCAAAGUGAAUUGCUCAAAGGCAAAAAAAAUAUUUUAAGUUCAGUAGACCACAUUCAUUCUGUGUCAGAAACCUAUGCUGUGUCAACUAUUUAAUCACAAUCCAAAUUUAGAGCUGUAUCCAGCUUGAAUGUUGUGUCCAUACUUGCCCCAACCUUUCAGGGUUCAACCUCUGCGGUCGUAUAAAGCUGCGCCCUG